rnacentral:rRNA from 1 species
GAUGAACGCAGGCGGCGUGCUUAACACAUGCAAGUCGAACGGUGAAGCAGGAGCUUGCUCUUGUGGAUCAGUGGCGAACGGGUGAGUAACACGUGAGCAACCCGCCCCUGACUCUGGGAUAAGCGCUGGAAACGGCGUCUAAUACUGGAUAUGUGAUGUGACCGCAUGGUCUGCAUCUGGAAAGAAUUUCGGUUGGGGAUGGGCUCGCGGCCUAUCAGCUUGUUGGUGAGGUAAUGGCUCACCAAGGCGUCGACGGGUAGCCGGCCUGAGAGGGUGACCGGCCACACUGGGAUUGAGACACGGCCCAGACUCCUACGGGAGGCAGCAGUGGGGAAUAUUGCACAAUGGGCGGAAGCCUGAUGCAGCAACGCCGCGUGAGGGAUGUCGGCCUUCGGGUUGUAAACCUCUUUCAGCAUCGACGAAGCGAAAGUGACGGUAGGUGCAGAAGAAGGACCGGCCAACUACGUGCCAGCCGCCGCGGUAA